rnacentral:rRNA from 1 species
UCUGGUGUAGGGGUAAAAUCCGUAGAGAUCAGAAGGAAUACCGAUUGCGAAGGCGAUCUACUGGAACAUUACUGACGCUGAGACGCGAAAGCGUGGGGAGCAAACAGGAUUAGAUACCCUGGUAGUCCACGCCCUAAACGAUGUACACUAGUUGUUGCCAUACUAGAUAUGGCAGUAAUGCAGUUAACACAUUAAGUGUACCGCCUGGGGAGUACGGUCGCAAGAUUAAAACUCAAAGGAAUAGACGGGGACCCGCACAAGCGGUGGAGCAUGUGGUUUAAUUCGACGAUACGCGAAGAACCUUACCUGGACUUGACAUAGUAAGAACUUUCUAGAGAUAGAUUGGUGUCUGCUUGCAGAAGCUUAUAUACAGGUGCUGCACGGCUGUCGUCAGCUCGUGUCGUGAGAUGUUGGGUUAAGUCCCGCAACGAGCGCAACCCUCGUCGUUAGUUGCUAACAGUUCGGCUGAGAACUCUAACGAGACUGCCUGGGUAACCAGGAGGAAGGUGAGGACGACGUCAAGUCAUCAUGGCCCUUACGUCCAGGGCUACACACGUGCUACAAUGGAGUAUACAAAGAGCAGCGAUACAGUGAUGUGGAGCAAAUCUCAAAAAUACUUCCCAGUUCGGAUAGUAGUCUGCAACUCGACUACUUGAAGUUGGAAUCGCUAGUAAUCGUAGAUCAGCAAUGCUACGGUGAAUACGUUCCCGGGCCUUGUACACACCGCCC